UACGAGUGCCUCAAGCGUUAUCCGGAAUUAUUGGGCGUAAAGGGUGCGCAGACGGCUUUGUUAGUCUCAUGUUAAAUCUCACGGCUCAACCGUGAAUCUGCAUGGGAAACGGCAAAGCUCGAGCAUGUGAGGGGUCUAUGGAACUCUAGGUGUAGGGGUGAAAUCCGUUGAUAUCUAGGGGAACACCAAAAGCGAAGGCAAUAGACUGGCACAUUUCUGACGUUCAUGCACGAAAGCGUGGGUAGCGAAUGGG
rnacentral:rRNA from 1 species